rnacentral:rRNA from 1 species
AUUGAACGCUGGCGGCAGGCCUAACACAUGCAAGUCGAGCGGAGCGGCGGACGGGUGCGUAAUGCCUAGGAAUCUGCCUGGUAGUGGGGGAUAACGUCCGGAAACGGGCGCUAAUACCGCAUACUAUCAGAUGAGCCUAGGUCGGAUUAGCUAGUGGGUGGGGUAAAGGCAUACGAAGGCGACGAUCCGUAACUGGUCUGAGAGGAGGAGCAGUCAAACUGAAACGGAGACACGGUCCAGACUCCUACGGUAUGCAGCAGUGGGGAAUAUUGCACAAUGGGCGCAAGCCUGAUGCAGUCAUGACGCGUGGAUGAAGAAGGCCUUCGUGUUGUAAAGUACUUUCAGCGGGGAGGCGUUACCCGCAGAAGAAGCACCGGCUAACUCAGUGCCAGCAGCCGCGGUAAUAC